ACACACACACACACACACACACACACACACACACACACACACACACACACACACACACACACACACACACACACAGGUUUUUGAACUUCUAUACAAGUGAGGACCUUCCACUGACAACAGGUAUUCCCUAUCCUCUUAAAGAAGUGAGGGUCUCCCACAAAAGGUCCCAGAAGGACCUCACUUGUCAAAAAAUGGCCUCAAAAACCUGCUUGGUUUUCACACAAAUGAAGACACACAGGAACCCACAUACACAAACACACAUAUAUACGUUUGUACACAAUGGGUCCACCUCAAAACAGACACCAAUGUUUUCCUAUUAACAACAUAUAACUCAAUCUGUCCAGUUAAAUUAGUUCUUGAACUUUUGGAUGCAUACUUAAAAGUAUACUGGUGAAAUGAUCCCUUGAAAACAUUGUCUGACUUACACGUGAAAGGUGUUGUUGCAGUUUUGCCAGACCUGUCUAGACAUAUAUACAUAGUUUUGAGUAAAGCUUGACCGCAUUGACUGCCAUGCAUUCUGUAGCAUACUCCAAGGAUGACGUUCUGACAAAGAGCCUUAAUGCAGACCUGUUUGAUAUCCUAAGUCUAAAAUCCACUGACAAUUUUAUUAAUAAUUCAUUUUAUUUAACUUUACUCAACUGUGGUCAUGUAAAUAACAUGACAGUAACCUAUGCCUGAAAAUGACCAUGCCUUAGAGUAACACUGGUGUGGAUGGUUGAUUGGGUUGAAGCAAACUUUACUAGGGGUCAAACUGUGAACUCAAUCAGAAUUAUCCCAAUUCAAAUGUAAAGU